GAACACAGGAAGAGCAACACUAGCAUGACUGGCAGCUGUCACAUGGACCAGAAUCAUCACCAGACGACAGUGACUGGCCUGGCUCCAUGUACCAAAUGUGGACCGAAACUGGAGUUUCGGAAGAAACCCACGCACGCACAUGGUCAACAUGAAAAUUCCAUCCUUCUUGAUGUAAAGGUAAGUGUUACUGUGAUCUAUAGAUAUUUGUGAUGGUACAGAGGUGUUGGCAGUAGUUCUAAAACCUUAUACCAGGCAACAAGGACUUUUUUUGUUUUUCUCUUAAUACCUACACAUUACAAAUGCUGUUUUAUACAGUGUCCAACUGACCUGCCUGCAGUCCAGAUCUGUCUCCUAUUGAAAACCAUUGUCCCAGCACUGACCAUGAACUGUUGAACUAUUGGGUCAAAAUUCAAAGGACAAUCUAAGUUGUAGGAUAAACAUGUACUGAACAGUCUACUGUUGACAACACUUUAACCAGAAGUACUGAAUCUGAACUAUUACACUUACG